AUUGAACGCUGGCGGCAUGCCUUACACAUGCAAGUCGAACGGCAGCACGGGAGCAAUCCUGGUGGCGAGUGGCGAACGGGUAAGUAAAGUAUCGGAACGUGCCCAGUCGUGGGGGAUAACGUAGCGAAAGUUACGCUACUACCGCAUACGAUCUAUGGAUGAAAGCGGGGGAUCGCAAGACCUCGCGCGAUUGGAGCGGCCGAUAUCAGAUUAGGUAGUUGGUGGGGUAAAGGCUCACCAAGCCGACGAUCUGUAGCUGGUCUGAGAGGACGACCAGCCACACUGGGACUGAGACACGGCCCAGACUCCUACGGGAGGCAGCAGUGGGGAAUUUUGGACAAUGGGCGAAAGCCUGAUCCAGCCAUGCCGCGUGCAGGAUGAAGGCCUUCGGGUUGUAAACUGCUUUUGUACGGAACGAAAAGGUUUGGCCUAAUAAGCUGAGCUCAUGACGGUACCGUAAGAAUAAGCACCGGCUAACUACGUGCCAGCCGCCGCGGUAA
rnacentral:rRNA from 1 species